rnacentral:rRNA from 1 species
GACGAACGCUGGCGGCGUGCUUAACACAUGCAAGUCGAACGAAGUGGCGAACGGGUGAGUAACGCGUAAUCACCCUGCCCUUCAGAGGGGGACAACAGUUGGACACGUCUGCUAAUGCCGCAUACUGAAGGAGGGGAUUCCGUGUGUUUACCUGUUUGGGGGGGUAACGGCCCACCAAGGCGCUGAUCAGUAGCCGGACGUAGAGGAUGAACGGCAAAAUUGGGACUGAGAAACGGCCCAGGCUCCUACGGGAGGCAGCAGGGGGGAAUCUUCCGCAAUGGACGGAAGUCUGACGGAGCAACGCCGCGUGAGUGAUGACGGCCUUCGGGUUGGAAAGCUCUGUUAGUCGGGAAGCGGUACCGGAAUAGAAAGCCACGGCUAACUACGUGCCAGCAGCCGCGGUAAUUC